GCUUUGUCAGAGAGCAAGAGGCAUUCCUGAACCCUCCUCAUGGCUCCGUCCUGUCUCUCUGGCUUUUGCAGGAGUGCAGGCUGCACCAUGUUCCCCAGACCCUGACUGAUGGACCAGAAACAACAGCAAAAGCUGCAGAAAGAUGUGGAGCUGCAAAGAGGCUUCUGGCAUGAAAAGAAAAGCUGGACCGUGCCAAGCUGGUGUGCCUUGUCCCAGCACCGCGAGGACGCAGCCCUGCCCAACCAAGCACCGGGCAGCAUGACCAUGGGCUCAGAGGAUACGAGGAGGUCUCACACCACCACUCGGUCACCACCACCACUUCCCUUGGGCUGGGAUUGGAGAGGGCCAAGCUCUGCUCCUAGCAGCUCUUACAGGAGAACAAAGAGAAAGACACAAGGCCAAAUUUGGAGCUGGCACAAAUCAGUUCUGCAAGUCAAGGAAGCCGUUCCUGCUCAUCCAGGCUGGAUACAGAUGCCGUUGGCCAAUUUUAUCCCUGGGGAUAACACCCCUAAUGUCUGAAGAGUUGCACCGCAUAUGAAUUUGGCUGCCAGGAAUUAACUCCCUGCAGAGCGGAUCCCUUGUUCUCAGUGUUCAGAGCUUGUGCCAGGUUAGUGAGAGUGUGGGUGAAAUACUCAGGAGAAAUGGCUUAAAAAUUCCAGAUAGUUUGGAACAAAACUCCUCUACGUGUUGGCUUCACAAAGACACAUGCAAGCAUUUCCCAUUGCUUCAGUCUGCUUAAUUUGCACCCCCUUUUGCUUUAAAUUUCAGUGUUCAUAUAAUCUCACAAUCUCAGGCAAAUGGCAAUCACAUGAAUGCAUCCUCCACUGGAAGUAAGUGUCUCUCUGUUGCCUUUGAUGUGGUUAUACUGGUUAUACCAUUAUAUUAAAUCGUGCCUUGUACUUCAGCUCGUCUGUGUAAACCCACAACAGUAAGCAGGUCUUGGUGCAAAGGCAUGAACCAACCCACGUUUACAAAGGUGAUGUUUCUAAGCAGAUUUCCAGCUAACAAUGUCUUAGGCCAGCUAAAUCUAGAGCUCUAUGUCCGUACUUAGAGGCUGGUAUUUCAGGGGGUUGUGAUUCUGCUGCCAGCUUUCAUUAACUAAAUAUAUAAUUAUUUCUUUCAGGUUUCAGAUUUUGUAGAUUCCAGCAGAAAUCUAUCUCUGGUCUGUUGACUGAGACAUGGGGCUCAUUUAUUUUGUGAUGUACUUUUGCAAGAGCAGGUACCAGGCAAGGGUUGCCAUCCUGAAAAGCCCUCAGGGCUCUUCUCCUAUGUCAGCAGGCAGCAAAAGGGCUUGGAGGUGACGGGGGUGGCAAAGCCAUGUGUCACCCCAACCCCUGGGUGACACAAGAGUCCAUUCAAAAUGCCUCUUUUCAAAGCUUCUGUAAGUUAGAGUUUCCUCAGCCAAAAAUAACUACAACAAACAACAAAAACACAAUAAAGAAAUGCAAAUAUAUCCUAAACCACCUAAUAAUUAACUGUGUUCAAUUAGUCUCUGGGGUGCUCUGUGCUGCUGUGUGGUCUCCCUGGAGGCAGCAGCAGCACCAUAGCGGUGAGUUAAUGAGUUCUGGUUGUGUCUUGUCCACAGACUUGGCUGCCUCACCAUGCUCCUCCUCUGGCCCAGCUUUCCGAGGAAGAACACCCACUUUUGAGGGCUUUCUCUGUCUUCCUGCUGGAAGCUGAUGAAACACCCAGUCUUCCCGUGUAAAACAUUUCCAAGGUGCUGCCUCCGUGGGGCUCAGCAGGCUGCCACUCUGUGCCCCAUUCCUGGUGCAGCAGUGGCCGGAUCUGCGCACUGAGCAAGCUGAGUUCCCGCGUGUUAGGGGGUGGGGGUCCCAGGGGCUGCUGGUACCCACAGAGUGGGCAGUGCACAGCUCCCCUCUCCCAUGUCAGCACUGAUGGCUGAAGCAACAAGAGUCUCAGUGGAUGAUGAGGCCAAAAGAGGAGUCUUUUCUGUCUCAACAACCAUUGCAUUUUUCUUAGCACUCCUGUCAUGUGAAGACCAGGUCUUCAUUUUGGCAAUACAAUUUGAAGAGAAUGAGUUCAUCUGCUCUUUGUUGGGGUCUGUAGACCUUAGUGCUUCACAUUAGGUCUAGCAUCUGUUUAUGUUACUCCUGUUUCUUCUGCAGCUGGGUGUCACUGGGCUGUCAGGCUUCUUUGCACAUCUUUCUCUUCCCUUAAACUUCUGUUAAAUUUAGGUUUUGCUUGGCAACACACUCUUAAAGUUUUUUAAAGCUUCUGAUUAUACUUUUAUCCUUCUUUUUUUCAGAUUCGGCCAGGACCUGUGCAGACCCUGGACCUCUUCUCUGCCAAGAAAUUGUUUUUUCCCGUGAAAUGCUGCAGGUGCUAAAGACAACCCAAACAGCAUUGCAGGAAGGAGUCCCCAAAGGGGUCCUGAGUGCUGAAUCCAUCCUCACACUGCAGCACAACAGCAGAGCUCGCUGCCAGGAGGAUCAGAGCUGACACUGCUGCUGAUACAUUUUGUUUUUCCCUUUCUAUGUCCAUUGGCUACUACUGCACGUCCCCUCACCUGUAUCAUUCACCACAGAGCGGACAGUGUUACAUGCUGUUUUCUGCAGUCUCCAGCAUUCACUUCGUGGUACCUUCCUGACUUGGGACUUCUUUCUUGCAGUAGUUUGUAUGAAACAUCUCACAGUGCUGCUUUCCAGGAACUCCAUUCUGGACAGGAUUAAUUCCUUUGUGUGGCAAAUUUUAAUUGUUCUAUCAAGGUGUUUUUUUCUUUCUUUUUUUUUUUUUUUUUGAGUUUUCCAACCCCUUUCCCUGGUGUUUUGUCCCAAAUCCCAGCCAUAAUAUAUUCUCUCUAAUGAGAGAACAUAAUUGUAAGAUCGGUACUUCAACCUUCUAUUACUCACAGGCUCUUUUAUAGUUUCAUCCUGAGUUUGUACCAAGGUUGUUUUUUUUUUCCUAUUGAAAAAUAAGAGGUUGACGUAUUUCAUCUUUCUUGGAGGACCACUGUUCUUGCAUUGUUUUACUACCGUUUUGUACUCCUCUGCUGGAGUUAAGGAAAAACCACAAAAAGGUGCUGGUUCCCCAAAUCAGCCAUUGUUAAGAAAGAGGGCAGCUGCUGACUCUUUUUAUUCACUAGAAGUGUCAAUAAAUGCUUUCAGUCUUUGUAUGUGUUUCUGAAGGGCUUCACCUUUCUGUUGCA